GAUGAACGCUGGCGGCGUGCUUAACACAUGCAAGUCGAACGAUGAAGCCCAGCUUGCUGGGUGGAUUAGUGGCGAACGGGUGAGUAACACGUGAGUAACCUGCCCUUGACUCUGGGAUAAGCCUGGGAAACUGGGUCUAAUACUGGAUAUGACUUCUCAUCGCAUGGUGGGGGGGGGAAAGAUUUAUUGGUCUUGGAUGGACUCGCGGCCUAUCAGCUUGUUGGUGGGGUAGUGGCUCACCAAGGCGACGACGGGUAGCCGGCCUGAGAGGGUGACCGGCCACACUGGGACUGAGACACGGCCCAGACUCCUACGGGAGGCAGCAGUGGGGAAUAUUGCACAAUGGGCGCAAGCCUGAUGCAGCGACGCCGCGUGAGGGAUGACGGCCUUCGGGUUGUAAACCUCUUUCAGUAGGGAAGAAGCGAGAGUGACGGUACCUGCAGAAGAAGCGCCGGCUAACUACGUG
rnacentral:rRNA from 1 species